rnacentral:rRNA from 1 species
UAAUACGUAGGACCCGAGCGUUGUCCGGAUUUACUGGGUAUAAAGGGUGCGUAGGCGGUCUUGUGCGUCAGAGGUGAAAUCUCCGGGCUUAACCCGGAGGGUGCCUUUGAUACGGCAGGACUUGAGUGCGGGAGAGGGUGAUGGAAUUCCUGGUGUAGCGGUGAAAUGCGUAGAUAUCAGGAGGAACACCGGUGGCGAAGGCGGUCACCUGGCCCGUAACUGACGCUGAGGCACGAAAGCGUGGGGAUCAAACAGGAUUAGAUACCCUGGUAGUCCACGCCCUAAACGAUGUAUGCUUGGUGUUGGGUCCGCAAGGACUCAGUGCCGUAGGGAAUCUGAUAAGCAUACCACCUGGGGAGUACGAUCGCAAGGUUG